rnacentral:rRNA from 1 species
UACGUAGGGGGCAAGCGUUGUCCGGAUUUACUGGGCGUAAAGAGCGUGUAGGCGGCCAUACAGGUCCGUUGUGAAAACUGGAGGCUCAACUUCCAGACGUCGACGGAAACCGUGUGGCUAGAGUCCGGAAGAGGAGAGUGGAAUUCCUGGUGUAGCGGUGAAAUGCGCAGAUAUCAGGAAGAACACCCGUGGCGAAGGCGGCUCUCUGGGACGGUACUGACGCUGAGACGCGAAAGCGUGGGGAGCGAACAGG